AAGGGCACCACAAGAACGCGUGGAGCAUGUGGCUUAAUUUGACUCAACGCGGGAAAACUUACCGGGUCCGGACACACUGAGGAUUGACAGGCGAUUAAAGUAAAGAUGCGAGUCCUUUCAUGAUUGUGUGAUAGGUGGUGCAUGGCCGUUCUUAGUUCGUGGAGUGAUCUGUCUGCUUAAUUGCGUUUCACUACUAUAAAGGGGACUGCGUACAGCGGUGUACUAUGUAUGCCAGUCGCAGUAAUUAUAUUCAAAAUCCCCAAAUGAAGGCAACGAACGUGACCGCAACCCUUUGUUAAAUCCCACCCAUUACAUGCGUGUGGAUUCAAACUAAGGGGACCGCCAGGCUUCUCAAACCGGAGGAAGGUUGCGGCAAUAACAGGUCUGUGAUGCCCUUAGAUGUUCCGGGCUGCACACGUGCUACAAUGACUGUCGCAGAAAGUAUCUCAUUCUAUAUAUGUAUGUAUAUACAUAUCCAACCUACCUCGAAAGUUCGGUAGGCAAUCAAUUCCAAGUGGCAAUCUCUCUUUUUUGAUCUGCACAAACCCAGGCUAUGAUAUAAUGUAUGUUAUUGAUUAGCUGUGCUCUACUUAAUUCGUGGUAGGGACAGACCAUUGCUAAUUGUUGGUCUCGUCUCAACUAGGAAUGCCUUGUACGGGUCUUUGGUUCAACAAACCACCCGGAAUACGUCCCUGCCCUUUGUACACACCGCCCGUCGCUCUUACCGAUGGACUACUUUGUGAGUUGGAGGGACUGGCGCAGCACUCGUGGCUAUGCUAUGGAAACUCCAACGAACAGUGUGGUCUAAAGGAAAGAGAAGUCG
rnacentral:rRNA from 1 species